rnacentral:tmRNA from 1 species
GGGGGCGAACAGGAUUAGACAUCUUUCUUUCGAACCUUAAGUGCAUGUCGAGAUUGAGGAGUUCUCGUUAAACAAUUCUCAAAACAAUUAGUUGGCAAAAACAACUACGCACUAGCUGCAUAAUUAAGCUAGCUUCCUUACCCUGACUUCUACUAAGGGAUAAGUGAAGUCGACUAGUAGAAUGCUUGAAAUGUGUUGCUCAGACCCAUUUUGAUAAGACUUUUCUGAGCUUACUCUUCUAAUCCCUUUUCAUCGGGCCAUGGAAGUAAAAGAAAAUUGAUGAAAUAAGCAUGUAGAUCUGAAGGUAAGAGUUAGUUGGACGCGGGUUCGAUACCCGCCGCCUCCACCA